rnacentral:rRNA from 1 species
GCUGUCGUCAGCUCGUGUUGUGAAAUGUUGGGUUAAGUCCCGCAAGGAGCGCAACCCUUAUCCUUUUUUCCCAGCGGUUAGGCCGGGCACUCUAAGGAGACUGCCGGUGAUAAACUGGAGGAAGGUGGGGAUGACGUCAAGUCAUCAUGGCCCUUACGACCAGGGCUACACACGUGCUACAAUGGCGGGUACAAAGGGAAGCGACCUCGCGAGAGCAAGCGAAUCUCAUAAAGCCCGUCGUAGUCCGGAUUGCAGUCUGCAACUCGACUCCAUGAAGUCGGAAUCGCUAGUAAUCGGAUC